rnacentral:misc_RNA from 1 species
AGAGCAACUGAUGAUUGCUUGUUAUUGUCGUGUAUUCCAUUUGAAAAUGUUGUAUUAUACAAGACAAUAACAAGCAAUCAUCAGUUGCUCUGCAAUAAAAAUCAAAGUAUCAACAUCAACCUGUCAUUUCCUUUUCCUAGAGACCAGUAAAUAAUUACCAAGCAUGAUGCCGAUCAGUGUCAUGAUAACAUACCACACCUAAAGAAAGGCAUCCUCCUCUUGAAGACAGAACGACAUAAAAGAUAAGUUCUCUUCGUUAAGUAUCAGAUCCGAGGAUCACAUUAUAUUUACGCUUUACAAUACCACCGCGCAGGUCCCUUGACCAUGCAUUGCCAUGCUAAGUAGCAGAAAGUAGUAGCAUGUGAGAUAAUAAGUCUGGGAAGAGAUAAAAUGACAGAACAAAAAGGAACGACUCCCAAAGAUUGAUAAUGCAAGCAGAAAGGAUUUCUUGCCGCUUCCCCUUCCCGGCAAUAAGACAAAAGGAUAAUUUCAAACAAUAGGAAAAGAGCUCAACACCCAAGGCUUUUCAUUAUUCUAUCAAGCCUGUCAAUAACAACUGCUGGAGAAGCAUACGAUCCACCAAGAUUGAUGGCAUGAUACUCCAAUCCUUUCCACUGGGCAAUCAAUCGAAAAUGUGGGCGCCUAAACUGGCUGCUAAUGAUCUCUAAAAUUACUGUUUUUGGUGUUGCAGAAAUUAUAUGAGUGAGACCGGCACCAUGAGCACCAAUAAUAACUGAAGCCUCUUGAACGGCUCGUAUUUGCUCCUUCAUAGACAUGUGUGCAAAAAAUCCAUUGACAAGAUUCACGUUGCAUCUCGCAUGAUUAGAUGCCCAACUCUGUAAUGAAUCGAACACUUCUCCUUCAUUGCUCAGUCUUGAUUCAACUUUACCAUGAUGACGUGGAUGGGCUAAAUAAUCUUCACGUCUGACAAAGAGGACAUUAUGACCUGAAACAGGCUUUUCACUACCAUGUCUAUUGACAGAGAAGCCAGAAGCUGCUCUAAUCAUUUCUCCCACCUCAGAUAAUCGGGCUGUUUUUCGGUCAUUAGGGUUUUGCCAAAGAUCAUGCGCUGAUGCUCCUUCACAAUCUAUAUCUUCGCUUAGUCCCUUAAAGAGUGCAGUUUCAUAUCCCAGAGGAGAUAGAACAACAUGACGAAAACAAACUGGACCAGUAAAGUUUUUAGCAUAUCUGACACUUGAAAAAAGUGCUCUCCAUGUUUCAUCCAAAGGUGCUCUGCAGUGGCCAUCUACAAAAAUCACAUGAGGUCGAUAAGGCAAUUCAGUGACUCUAGAAGACACAUAUGCACUGUACCAGCCGUGUGAAAAAGAUUAGCAUAUUCAAAUCGUAUAACCAGAAGUGUUGGCUCCUCAAUCCACUGAUCGCACUCAAAUUCCUCAUUAUCCACGGCACGAAUUGAACCAAUCAAUCCACGCAUGGUAUUCCUAGUAAUCUCGCCCCCCGGGACACUAGUAUCCAAGAAAUCUCCUACAAGGUUUUUACCGUUCCUUCCAACCCCUAGAACCUCAAAGGCACCGUUUUGGAACUCAGGCAACUCCUCUUCCUCCGUUCUCCGCAUGACCUCCUCUAUUGCCUCCCCUCCUUUGGACAUAUGUAUCCUUUCAGGCACCAUCCGCACAUUUCUUCCCUCGCAUAUGGAGCUCCGAAGCGUCUCGCUGAAGAAACAACGGAAACACCCUCCACCGGGAUUCGCGGGGAGGAUGUCAAUGCGGCGGUUGAAGCCGUUGCCAAAGUAGGCCUCGCAGGAGCGGAAUGAGACUUUACGAUUCCGAGUCCAGGGAAGAUAAGACGGUAGUAUCGGCCACGGUUUAAGGUAAUGAUUAUUGUUAAAAUUACUAUUAUUUUUAUUUUGGAGGUGGUUGUCCGUCAGUGUAGGGCGGUUUUCCGUGAGGAAAUGAUGCCGGCUAUCCAACAAGGAGGGGAGGUUGUUGUUAAGAGAAGGCCGAUGGUGGUCGGAGUGGUUUUGGUGGUGGUAGGGUAAGGAGAAGUAGACAGAGAGAGAGAGACAAUUGAGAGCGAAGAGGGAGAGAACGAUCUUGAAGAGCUUGGAGUGAGUUCUGUCCAUCGUUUUUUUUUUUUAACUCUCUAAGACCAGG